AGGAAGAAGAGGAAGACCCAGCAAAGGAGUAUCCUGGGAUGCCUGGGAUGUAGGAAGAAAGCCAGGAGCUUGCGGUCCCUGGAAACCAAAUAAAGAAUGUGCUUCAAGUGUCUGUUUCCUUCUGGACUUCCUUAGGGGAAAGGAGGGCUGGAACUGACGAGCCUGCUUCCCUCACCCGCAGGGAGAUCUCCCCCGGGCCACUUUGUGUCGUUCGUGCAUUCGUCGGUCACUCCUCAGGCAUGGAUGGAGCCCACUGCUUGCCCAGCGCUGAGUUGGAUUGCAUGCGAGUCAGAGGCACUACGUGCAGCACCUCACCUGCGUUAUGUCAUUGAAUUGUCACAAAAAUCCCUUGGAGGUAAAUAUUAUUAUCUUCAUUUGCGUUUAAGGAAACUAACAGUGGGGAAACUUGAAGUCAAACCCUGGCUGCUGAGGUCGCACAGGUGGUAUUUCAGAGGCGUCUGCUGCCCAUCCUACUUUCUCCAGUGCCUCUCACGAUGUGGUCUUUGAACCACCGAGAUCAGAAAAUCGUGGGACUUUCUAACCUUCAGAUCCCUGGACUCUCUCUUAGACUCAGGGGAUGGAAAUCCCUGGGAAGUGGUCCUGGAAUCUGCACUGUAAACCACAUUUUGGACCUUGGGGAGGGAGUGUGUGGUUAACCCUAGGAACAGAACCGGCCCCUCCGUGUGGAGGCUGACCUGUGUUUUAGUCCUCGACUGAGUUCACGCUCUUUAUUUAAUCUCUCUUGGCUUCCAUUUCCUCGUUUGUAAACCAGGGUCUCCUGGUGGUUGUGAGGCUCGAAGAUGAUGUGCAGAAAGUAGAAUAAGAUGUUAGA